CUUAUGCACGAUUCUGGCCUCCAGAAACGCUAGGUGAACACAGAAAACUGAACCAGCUGCAGUGAAUAUACCAAACACACGCACACACAUCAAAUAUCUUCAGAAAGAGGGAGCGUGAGCAAGCCAGCACACUUUCCUUGUCAAACUCCUGCACUUUUCCUUUUUUGCCCAGUAGAUGGGGACGGGGUGGAGAAGAGCUGGUCUGGAGGUGGGGAGGCUGGGUGGAGUUGAGUUACAGCACCAAGAGCACCCUGGGCUAUAAGGGAACUAGAAUGCAGUUGUUAGCAGCAGCGAAUCUGCAUGGGUCUGCAGCAACCUCAAGUCUCCUCAGAAGAAAGAAUUUGACCAAGGGGCAUAAGGCAGAAGGAGAGACCCGGGCAAGCUUCAGAGCAAGAGUGGAAGUUUAUUAAAAAGCUUCAGAGCAGGAAUGAAAGAAAAGUACACUUGGAAGAGAGCCAAACAGGUGACUUGAGAGAUCAAGUAAAACCUCAUUAACGUAACUGCAACAAUGAAGACAUUACCUAGUAAGUAUGUUCUACUGAAAUCUCACUGUUUUGAAAAUGCUUUUAAGAUAUAGUACCUCAUUGGCUCCAAUGGCCAGGGAGGCCUAUGCCUGAUUGGAGUGUGGAUAAAGGUGACACUAAGCCCCUGAAAACUGUCAUAACCACAUUGUGUUUCAAGUUUGAGAGCGUAAUGGUUUAUCCUUUGUCAUCAUCUACAGCAUCUAGGCUCUUUGCCUAGAAGAGUUUGUGAGACUCCCCCUCCCCAACCCCCCCAGCCCCACAUUGUAGACAAAAAGGUUAUAAUAGACUGUGUGUGAGUUUGGGGAUCAAACAAAUAAGCAUUCAAUUCCAGGUAUAUCACUUGGGGAAAAGGCCUAGUAGCUUACUGACCUCAGUUUUUUCCAAGAGAAAAUAGGGCAACAAUAUAUAUUCCAAAGAGUUGUAUGAGAAUUACGUGUCUAUAGUAAGAUGUGUAGCAUGCCUCCAUAAAUAUUCCUUCACUUUCCUCUUCUCACCCUCCUCCUCCCC
rnacentral:lncRNA from 10 species